rnacentral:lncRNA from 1 species
CUUGUGAUGCUUGCCGAUAUAUUCAGUCCAUGUACACAAAAAAAUCACCUCCAAUCAAGAAAACAACACGGGAAUCCAGUCUUGAAGUUAUUCGCCUUUAUUCAUUACCAUCCGGUACUGAAUCUACAUCCACGAACACAUAGGACAAAAACGGAGAUGUCAGCCGCAGAAGAAAUGAAGACAACUAUGACAAGUAUGAUCAGAAUAUGCACAUUCUAAUGACUUGGAUCAUAAGUGUCUGAUUUGCAUUGUAAAGAACACAAUGAUGAAUUCAGAAAAAUGAGGUUGGGUAUCCUCAUGUGUACAUGUCAAGUAUCAGUUAUUGAAUCCAAUCGAUCCUAAAGAUUACCGUGUAUCAAAAGUUUUGUCCCUCUUAAAAAAUGUCCUACUGUACAUGCCAAUGCCCACCCCAAUUUCUUCAGCACUAUGGACCAAAAAGGACAACCAAAAACUAUCAAUAUAAGUUACUGAACUAGCAUGCCCAGAUUCAUGAUUCUUUGACAUGUGGAUGAGAAAUUUGGGCGAGGUUACUGUUACUGUCAUCGCACUACAUCUGCUCCAAAUAAACGAACUUUUGACAGCAAACAACUGAACACGAUACAUCGAUUAUUAAUGUAUAUGUCAAUGCCGGUGAUUAUGUCCUGACUUUUGACAAGCUUGCCUACUUCUCCUCUUCAACUAUAUUUAACAUUCAUCAAGCCAAAAACUAAAUACCAGAAACUUUUAGAUUCAGCAUGCUAGUACCUUUGACUCCACGGAACUGGAAUGGGAUGCGAUUCAGGCUGGGCCUCUUCGGCGUCGUCAAUAUCUGGGACAUUGGAGAAAUCUGGCAUAGCCUCCUGAUCUUCAGGGGUUCCUGAAUCUGUGGCACCAUAUUUCUCUCUAUCUUGGCUUGAAGAAGGAGAUUGGUUCUGGAAAUUAGGAUGGAUGCGCUCUUCGCCCUCCUCCUCCUCCUCUAGCAAUCCCAGAUCUGGGACGCCCUCUGUUGCGGCCGGCUGGGAACAAAAGCCGCAAGAUGAGGAUUUUUGCCCGAGAAAAUGCAAGAACGAAAAGGACGAUCCACAAGACGAUGAGAUACCUGAAGAGGAGAUCCGUGAAUGACUCGUCACCGAGAUUCAUCGUUGAAUCGUGAAGCAACCUAGGGAACCAGGCGCGUGGAUGGGGAGGGUGUGGUUCGUCCGCUCGAUGCAGCUGCGAUUGGAAUGAAAACGAAUCUUUCUAAUAUAGUUAAAAUGUGUUCAUCACUCUGACUUUGAUUCAUAAGUAGUUGCAGUGUUUUGAAUACCGUAUGGGUAGAUAUAUGUAACAACCAAUUCUCCAAAAUAAUUAAACCAUGUAGCAUCAAUAGGUAUGCUGCUCAUAAAAAUGUCUUAAUGCACAUGCCGAUGCCAAUAUUGACAGUAUAAAUGCCUGCAAAAAAGGCGGCAAAGUCUGACUAUAAAAUGUACUGUAACCAAGAGCCGAGUCUGACUAUAAAAUGUACUGUAACCAAGAGCCGAGUUUAUGAUUCCUUGACACAAAGCGAAAAUUGUAUCAUAUACUGCACCCCAAAUAGACAUGUUUAUGAUCGCUGAUCAUAACGGGAUGUCUUGUAACAUCAACCGACAACUCGCCAAUAACAAAAAUUCUGCUCCAAAAUAAACAAACUUUUGACUGCAAUCAACUGAGCAUGAUAAAAAAAAAUCUCCUGUUCAUGUCAAUGUCAUGUCCAUGAUAAAGACUGAACUGGUGAUGCUUCCCUAAUGUUGGUCCAGAAAAAUAUUUUACAUGUGCACAUUCAUUAAUCCUAAAAAUAGAAACUGAACACGUCACUGGCCGUUCUAAGUUCGGCCUGCCCAGCAUCCUCAAAUCUUCAUCAAGCCAACAACUUUACUGAAAAAUCAGGACUAGUUCACUGAAAGUUGUAUUCACAGAGGGGGGAUCGAUUGAGCUAGUACCUUUGAGGCCACGGAGUUGGAGUGCGCUGCGAUUCAGAUGGGGGUUCUCUGUGACUGUCGGUGUUGUCAAAAUCUGGGACAUGAACUUGAGAUGCAGAACUUGAGGAAGGAGAAUCGGUAACGCCAUAUGUCCCUCCACCCCCACAAUCGUCGUCCUCCUCCCCUUCCUCUAGCAAUGCCAGAUCUGGGACACCCUCAUGGACAUGGCAAGAUUCAGAUUUGAGGAAUUUGCCGGAGAAGACAAAGAAAGAAACAGAGGAUUUUGUGAAACCUGAACAGGAGAUCCGUGAAUGACUCUGACUCCCCACCGAGAUUCAUUGGUGAAUCAUGAAGAAAUCUUGAGAUCCAGGCGCGGCGAUGGGGAGGACGUGGUUCCGCCGGUCGAUGCAGCUGCAGCUGCGUCGAAUUUUGAAUUGCAUCCGGCUUGGAUGGAUGGGGC